AGGGGAUGUUUUCGUGUGCUGCUGCAGCUGUCGGGAGUCAACAACACAGAGCCUGCGCUAUCGUUCAGGGAGACCACUGCGCUGAGGAUCUGUGUUCCUGUCCUGGGGCACAUCUGUUGAUCAGCUUGACACCUUGCAACACAUCUGUGAUGUUUGGCCGGAACCAGGAGUGGCAGAGGACAGGCAGGAUUCCACAGGAGACUGCAGUGACUUACCACACUUACUUCAUUAUUUAAAUUCAGAGUUUAUUUUGUACUUGCAAAAUAUAUCAUUAAAAAUACUUAUCAUAUGGAUUUUCACCAGACAUGAAGAAGUCCCACCUCUUGCACAGCGAAUACAAUUUUCUAAGAAUUACAUCCUCUUCCUCUCAUCAUUUUAAAUUUUCUUUAAACAACAUUUACUAGGUCCUUUCAUCUCAAGUUUCUCCAAUAUUGUCUCCCCAAGCUAGAACAGGUCCCAUAUUAUAACCCAGUGCAAGAUUACAGCAGACCCAGAAGCUCAAAUACAAAGCAGUACACACACUUUCUGUAAUUGUUUUCCCUUCAAGGACUCUGACCAGGAACAGGUUUUUCAUGAUUACCACUUCUCUCUACAGGCCACAAAGUUGUUU